rnacentral:rRNA from 1 species
CGCGUAGGCGGUCUUUUAAGUCGAGGUGUGAAAGCCCGGGCUCAACCCCGGAAGUGCACUUGAAACUAAGAGACUUGAGUAUGGGAGAGGGAAGUGGAAUUCCUGGUGUAGCGGUGAAAUGCGUAGAUAUCAGGAGGAACAUCAGUGGCGAAGGCGACUUCCUGGACCAAUACUGACGCUGAGGCGCGAAGGCGUGGGGAGCAAACA